CUAAAAACCAUACUUAAUGACACUGCUUUAUUCUAAUAGUGCACGUAUGGGUUGAUUUAGGCGACUGAAUUUGUCGAACUGAUAGAUGUGAUAGCUUUUGUAUAUAUUCAUUUAAGAAUCUGGAACCUGAACCGUUGAUAAAGUACCGGAGAAUGUACGUACAGGCCCAGAGGAGUCUUAUCACUAUGUUUUGUUUCCCUGCUAGAAAACGUCAAGAAUAAACUCGAGGUAAAAACGUUAUAAUAGAAAACAUUUCAUGGCAGCGAAACGAAACAAUAAAGUGAGUGUAUUGAAAAAAAUUGUUAAAAAAUUAAAGAUUCUAUGGUCAGUGAUUACAUUACGUGAUUCUUUCAACAGCAAGGGUACUUGAAGCUUAUAAGCAUUAAAUUAUUUAAGUAAUUGUAGGAGCUUGAUGCCAUCGUGUCAUGGUAAUUGUUACUGUAAAUCCUAGUUUUAGUUUGUAUUUCACAACAUGUUUUAAGCUGAGUUAAUUUACUCUUCCGAUAUGUCGUAGUGAAAUUGAGGUAGUUUGAUUUUUCUUCUUAUUAGUAUAAGUAUCUAUUACUAAACUGCUCUCUAUGCGAAACCGAAAAUGAAGCACUGUGAACAAAAUUUACGACAACGAACAUUAGCGAGAAACAACUGACAAGAAUUUGAACAUGGAAUGUUUAACUGCUGUACCACAAGCUCGCUGCACUCUACGGUGAAAUUCUUCUUCUUCUUGCCAUGUCGUCCUCACUGGGACAAAGCCUGCCUUUCAGCUUAGUGUUCUAUGAGCACUUCCACAGUUAUUAACUGAGACUGAGAGCUUACUCUGCCAAUGACCUUUUUGCAUGUGUAUAUGGUGUAGCAGGAAUAAAGAUAAUCUAUGCCCAAGGAAGUAAAUGGAAAUUUACUUUACGAAAAGUUCCUGAACCGACCGGUAAUCGAACCCGUCACCCAUAAUUAAAACAUAGAGAAACGUACAUAAGAACAAGCUACAUUAAAUCAUCGUUAAGAAAACGUAACCGCCCAAUGCUAGGAGCAAACAAGGCAAUCUAUGACGUCUGUUUCUCUGUGUUUGAAACAUUCUUGUCAAUAAAACAAUUUUAGAUCACGAAAAAAAAUGUUUUUUUUUUAACAUUUCAGGCAAGCAUUUCUUAAUUUUUUGAGGCUCAAAGAUUUUCACCGUCUUCUAAGAUUUUUUUUAAAUUUGAUUGAUAACAAAAAAAACAUGUUUGAAACCGACUGGUAUCAAUAUCGUAUAACAAACAAGAAAGUCGAUUGAGUUAUAAGUUUGAGCUUAUUAUCCUGGCUAUUUGUAAGUCACUUUUCUACUAAAAGUUAGUAGUGAAAUAAUAUUUCAUCGAUACGAUCAGCAACAUUUUUCUAAAUUACUCUGUGAGCCGCAUUUAUGAGCCUUGAGAGCCGUAAGUGGCCCUCGUGCCGCAGUUUGAGCACCACAGUUUGCCGGUGGUUUAAGCACCACUGCGAUAAGCACACAGGUAUUCAGCAAGAUCAUGCUAAGGGUGACGGGUUCGAUUCCAAGUCGGGCCAAGGACUUUUCGUAAAUGAUAUACCCAUACCCAUGCAAAUUUGUCACACACGAUAUACCCAUGCAAAUUUGUCAUUGACCAAGGGAACUCCUUGUUAACAACUGUGAAAGUGUCCAUAGAACACUAAGCUAAGGAACAGGUUUUGUCCCAGUUGGGACGUUACGCCAAAAAGUAGAAGAAACGCCACCAACACCUGCGUCAAAGAAAACAAUGCGAAAACUGUCUUCAGUCAGAGGCUAGUGCAGACGAAUGAAACUUUGCAAUAGACAACGAAUACAUAAGGGCAUGCGCCAGUGGAUACGAGGAAGCAGCACUGUUUGCGAAAAGUUUCAUCGCCUGGAGCAGAAAUCGAGCCCGCAUAUAAAUAUAUUAACCAACGUGCUUAAUACCCCUUUCGGUGUGGGCUUUGAUCAAUGUUAUAACAAUGAUUCAAUUGAACUAAGCCACUAAGCCGUAAAAAUUGGCACCAAGUUGGUUCUAUAUUCAUAUGAAGAACAAUGCCAACAGAGCUUUUCAGAACUACAUCCUAUAAUAGAUCUGCUAAAAAGCCACUUUUGGCGAAAUAUUCGGCUGAUACGGCCAGCUUCAAUCUGCGUACCGAGUCUCUGGUGAAAGAGCUGUCAAAAGUGGGUUAAGGAAAAAGAAAAAAAAAAUAUUUAUCUUCUUUAUGUUUUGCUCAGGAUGCCUUUCCAUCGAAGUCUAUUUUUUCUUCGAUUUCUACGGCCUGCUGAUCUGGACUCGAACUGAUAAUCUUCGGGUUUGCUAUUUUCAAGUUUAUUUCGUCACGUUUUCAAUCUGAUCCAUUGAUGCAGCGUGAGAUCGGUUAGCUCAGUACCGUAUUUGAGGAAAAGGAGGCAACAAGUUGGGACAGCAUUGAUGUUCCAAACCGAAAUGUUUAGAAUUAUCCGAUGGUCGGAUGUGGAAUCGGGCACAAAGUGGCCGCAUACGAAAUGUAUGAAAUGGUCGGGGAAAUGGUUUUAUAGAUGGCGGCUCUGUGGGAGAUGCAGCUUGUUAAGUUUGGAAGGUUGCGAGGUUUCAUAACAGGAGGAAUCAAAAUGCGGCUCGUCGACUACUUUUGGUAUUCAUCUGUAGGUAAAAGCUUCGGUAAACCGAUUACAGCUGCACAGGUAAAUAUCUGAUGCAUUCGUAAUAGAUGAUCGAGGAAGCAGCUGUACAUUAAUUUGAUGUUUAUAGUGGCGAGAUGACGAUAAUCAUCCAACACCCAGUCUAUCGUACAAAAGUUCCGAUGAUAUUUCAUUGUUCUCCGACGGUUCAGUUUUGUUUUGCUUCAAAUCAGCUCUGAUUGAUAUAAACGUCAUGUACGCCAAGCCUUUUAACAGCACUGUCAGGCUUCUAAUUCGGCUCGCAGGCUCUGGGUUUGCAAGCACUACAGUGUAGCGUAAUAUACUAAUAUACGGCUUAUUUUAGUGCUUACAAUUUAUAAUGCCUGUGAGCAUUUGAAAAUCACAUACAGAGCCUAAUGACACGGAGAAGCUGCUGAAUGACCUUUAGACCGCUUACGACAGUGCUUAGUGGUUACCUGGGUAUUUUUAGGCAAAGUUGUGGCCCCUGUUUCACUCUACAAUUCGUUCUUUGACAUUAAACUUCUAUGUGAGGAUCGGAUGCGAAAAAUAAAGAAUUUUACCGAGACUUCAACUAUAAAACAUUUAUUAAUACGGAUCGAAAUUUCACGGUACUUUUCGUUUACGUCGCGGGAUUGUUCUGCCUCCUUUUAUUUACACUCGGUGGGCAGUGAUCCCGGGGGAUGCUCUGCAAGAGAUUUCAAUUGCCACUAGAGAGCGUGGAUUUCUUUUCGCAAUUUAAAUUUCGUUGGUAAUUCCCUUUAAAUUCUUUCGGCAUUACAAUUACUCCAAUAAAUUAUUCGAGAACUUUUUCGGCAAUUUUUAUAGCUUUCACUGGAAUUUCUUCGUGAAUUAUACUACAACUUCUGUAGAAAUUUCUUCAGCAACAUCCUUUGGAAUCUUUUUCGACAUUUCCCUUGGGAAUUGAAGUAAUUUUCCAUAUUCCUUGGAAAAUCCUUCGAUAGCUCCACCGGCAUUUUUUUCAACUCUUUCGAUAAUUCUAAAGAUUGUUUAUUCACAAACUUAUUUGAAAAAUUGUUUUGUUUAUUUUUAAUGGAUUUGAUCAGAAUUUUUGAAAUGCUUUUGCAAUUUUUUUAGGGAUUCUUUCGAGAAUUUGUUUAAUUCGGCAAUUUCUGUUAGAAUUUCUAAAGCAGUUUUUAUUUUUCGAAAAUUGCCACGGCAAUUUAUUUGUAACUUGAGUAGGCAAUUAUUUUUUUGAAAUUUAGCCAACAUUUUUUAAUGUUUAGUG